rnacentral:rRNA from 1 species
AAACCAACAGGGAUUGCCUUAGUAACGGCGAGUGAAGCGGCAAAAGCUCAAAUUUGAAAUCUGGCACCUUCGGUGUCCGAGUUGUAAUUUGAAGAAGGUAACUUUGGAGUUGGCUCUUGUCUAUGUUCCUUGGAACAGGACGUCACAGAGGGUGAGAAUCCCGUGCGAUGAGAUGCCCAAUUCUAUGUAAAGUGCUUUCGAAGAGUCGAGUUGUUUGGGAAUGCAGCUCUAAGUGGGUGGUAAAUUCCAUCUAAAGCUAAAUAUUGGCGAGAGACCGAUAGCGAACAAGUACAGUGAUGGAAAGAUGAAAAGAACUUUGAAAAGAGAGUGAAAAAGUACGUGAAAUUGUUGAAAGGGAAGGGCUUGAGAUCAGACUUGGUAUUUUGCGAUCCUUUCCUUCUUGGUUGGGUUCCUCGCAGCUUACUGGGCCAGCAUCGGUUUGGAUGGUAGGAUAAUGACUAAGGAAUGUGGCUCUACUUCGGUGGAGUGUUAUAGCCUUGGUUGAUACUGCCUGUCUAGACCGAGGACUGCGU